rnacentral:rRNA from 1 species
GACAUAGGUCGCGAACGUUAUCCGGAAUUAUUGGGCGUAAAGGAUGCGUAGGUGGUUCGGUAAGUUACUGGUGGGAAAUCGAGGCUCAACCUCGUGGAAGUCAGUAAUACUAUCGAGCUUGAGUGCAGGAGAGGUUAAUGGAAUUUUAUGUGGAGCGGUAAAAUGCGUAGAUAUAUAAAAAGAACAUCAAUUGGCGAAGGCAGUUAACUAUUCUGCUACUGACAUUGAGGCAUGAAAGCGUGGGGAGCAAACAGG